CCUACGGGUGGCAGCAGUGAGGAAUAUUGGACAAUGGACGAAAGUCUGAACCAGCCAUGCCGCGUGCAGGAAGACGGCUCUAUGAGUUGUAAACUGCUUUUGUACGAGGGUAAACGCAGAUACGAGUAUCUGUCUGAAAGUAUCGUACGAAUAAGGAUCGGCUAACUCCGUGCCAGCAGCCGCGGUAAUACGGAGGAGUCAAGCGUUAUCCGGAUUGAUUGGGUUUAAAGGGUGCGUAGGCUGUCGGAUAAGUUAGAGGUGAAAUCCCGAGGCUCAACUUCGGAAUUGCCUCUGAUACUGUUCGGCUAGAGAGUAGUUGCGGUAGGCGGAAUGUAUGGUGUAGCGGUGAAAUGCUUAGAGAUCAUACAGAACACUGAUGGCGAAGGCAGCUUACCAAGCUACUUCUGACGUUGAGGCACGAAGGCGUGGGGAGCAAACAGGAUUAGAUACCCGGGUAGUC
rnacentral:rRNA from 1 species